rnacentral:lncRNA from 1 species
UAAACCUAAUUGGGGGUAUAACGAACGCGUUGGUACGCUCGGUUCGACGAUACGACGAGUGUACGCGAAGUUAUUGACGAAACGGUCUGUUUUGGUACAGAUAGCCGCAGCACGCGGAAUAAGCCUCCAAAAAUCAUGAGAACGGAUCGGGAGCAUCGUGGUGUCAUGGAAUAAACUCCAGAAUAGACGGAUCGCGGAUUGGUGGCCGUUCGGGUGGUCGCGCAAGAGUUCGAGCCGAACCGGGUCACGGGUGCCGCGGGAGGCCGAUUGCAAGUGUCGACGAGCAAUCGGAACGCGAAUUAAGGUGGGUUGUGUUUACCGAAGCGACUAGGUCGCCCUUUAUGUCUAAGCGAGUUAAGAAUCCAUGUUGAUGCAUAUAAUGUAAUUACUAGAUGAUAAUGCAUAGUGACGUAAUGAGAAUAUAUAUGCAUAAUAAUGGAAUAUUUAUAUGCUUGUAGAAUACAUGCUAGCUAAUUGCAUGGUUAUAUGAUGCUAGGAGAGGCAUGAUAACAUAGUAAGCAUAAUGUAAAGAAUGCAUGUCCAUGAUAUAAAUGCAAGAUGAUGCAUGUAGUUGAUACUAAAUAUACGUAUGUGAACUGUAGAAUACUCGAUAUGACAAAUAGGAUGUCAAGUAGAUCGAGUGGCAUUAACCUAGUGUUAAUAAACAUAGGUCGGACAUAGAUGACAUCGAACCUAGUGUUGUUGAACCUAGGAUAAAUAA